rnacentral:tRNA from 1 species
GCCGGUGUAGCUCAAUUGGCAGAGCACCCGACUUGUAAUCGGGAGGUUGUGGAUUCGAGUUCCCCCACCGGCUCCA